rnacentral:misc_RNA from 1 species
AACGCACAUUGCGCCCACCAGUAUUCUGGUGGGCAUGCCUGUCUGAGCGUCAUUUCAACCCUCAUACCCCUAUGGGUGUGGUGUUGGGGAUCGACCGUUCGUCCUCUCGGGGGCGGGUCGUCCCCUAAAUCUAGUGGCGGACUCGUUGUAGCCUCCUCUGCGUAGUAGUAAUAUUUCGCACCGGAAAGCGACGAGCCCCUGCCGUAAAACCCCAACUUUCUAAGGUUGACCUCAGAUCAGGUAGGAAUACCCGCUGAACUUAA